rnacentral:rRNA from 1 species
CCCGGAUGUUAGCGGCGGACGGGUGAGUAACACGUGGGUAACCUGCCUGUAAGACUGGGAUAACUCCGGGAAACCGGAGCUAAUACCGGAUAGUUCCUUGAACCGCAUGGUUCAAGGAUGAAAGACGGUUUCGGCUGUCACUUACAGAUGGACCCGCGGCGCAUUAGCUAGUUGGUGGGGUAAUGGCUCACCAAGGCGACGAUGCGUAGCCGACCUGAGAGGGUGAUCGGCCACACUGGGACUGAGACACGGCCCAGACUCCUACGGGAGGCAGCAGUAGGGAAUCUUCCGCAAUGGACGAAAGUCUGACGGAGCAACGCCGCGUGAGUGAUGAAGGUUUUCGGAUCGUAAAGCUCUGUUGUUAGGGAAGAACAAGUGCGAGAGUAACUGCUCGCACCUUGACGGUACCUAACCAGAAAGCCACGGCUAACUACGUGCCAGCAGCCGCGGUAAUACGUAGGUGGCAAGCGUUGUCCGGAAUUAUUGGGCGUAAAGGGCUCGCAGGCGGUUUCUUAAGUCUGAUGUGAAACCCCCCGGCUCAACCGGGGGAGGGUCAUUGGAAAACUGGGAA